rnacentral:rRNA from 1 species
UACGUAGGGUCCGAGCGUUGUCCGGAGUUACUGGGCGUAAAGCGCGCGCAGGCGGCGGUAUAAGCAUGGCGUGAAAGCCCCAGGCCCAACCUGGGAGGGUCGUCGUGGACUGUACCGCUUGAGGGCGGUAGGGGCUGGUGGAAUGCCUGGUGUAGUGGUGAAAUGCGUAGAGAUCAGGCGGAACACCCGUGGCGAAAGCGUUCUGCUAGACCUGUACUGACACUGAGGGACGAAAGCUAGGGGAGCGAAUGGG